rnacentral:ncRNA from 1 species
AAAAAGGCUGUGAAAAGGAAUAGUAGUCGUUGUUCGCCUUAAAGAGAGCUGACGGUCGGUGCGAGUCAGCAGGUGGAUGCGGUGAACUCGCCUUGGAGCUGCUUCCGUGAAAAGAAACGUUAGUGUAAAGUUUUCUGAGUAAUUGGAGCCGUUGCCCGCGUCAAGGGUUUAAUGAGGUUCGCUAAGGCGAAUGAAUGAGGGUGGUACCGCGGAGCUCAAGCCUUCGCCCCUUAC